UCUCGGCUGCUGGAAUGCAUCGAGAUCUAAAGCUCCGGCGCCUAAGGAUGGGUCUGCGGCCUAUCAGGUAGUAGUGGGUGUAGCGUACCUACUAGCCUACGACGGGUACGGGUUGUGAGAGCAAGAGCCCGGAGAUGGAUUCUGAGACACGAAUCCAGGCCCUACGGGGUGCAGCAGGCGCGAAAACUUUACAAUGCUGGAAACAGCGAUAAGGGGACCUCGAGUGCCAGGUUACAAAUCUGGCUAUCGUGAUGCCUAAAAAGCAUUGCAUAGCAAGGGCCGGGCAAGACCGGUGCCAGCCGCCGCGGUAACACCGGCGGCUCGAGUGGUAACCGUUAUUAUUGGGUCUAAAGGGUCUGUAGCCGGCCGGAUAAGUCUCUUGGGAAAUCCAGCAGCUCAACUGUUGGGCUUUCAGGAGAUACUGUCUGGCUCGAGGCCGGGAGAGGUGAGAGGUACUUCAGGGGUAGGGGUGAAAUCUUGUAAUCCUUGAAGGACCACCAGUGGCGAAGGCGUCUCACCAGAACGGACCUGACGGCAAGGGACGAAAGCUAGGGGCACGAACCGGAUUAGAUACCCGGGUAGUCCUAGCCGUAAACGAUGCAGGCUAGGUGUUUGGACGGCCACGUGCCGUUCUAGUGCCGCAGGGAAGCUGUUAAGCCUGCCGCCUGGGGAGUACGAUCGCAAGAUUGAAACUUAAAGGAAUUGGCGGGGGAGCACCACAAGGGGUGAAGCUUGCGGUUUAAUUGGAGU
rnacentral:rRNA from 1 species